UUGCUUUUUGAUCCUUCG
rnacentral:snRNA from 1 species